rnacentral:rRNA from 1 species
UACGAAGGGUGCAAGCGUUAAUCGGAAUUACUGGGCGUAAAGCGUGCGUAGGCGGUUUGUUAAGUCUGCUGUGAAAUCCCCGGGCUCAACCUGGGAACUGCGUUUGUGACUGUAUGACUAGAGUACGGUAGAGAGGGGUGGAAUUCCUGGUGUAGCAGUGAAAUGCGUAGAUAUCAGGAGGAACAUCGAUGGCGAAGGCAGCCCCUUGGACCUGUACUGACGCUCAUGCACGAAAGCGUGGGGAGCAAACAGG